rnacentral:rRNA from 1 species
AGAGCGAACGCUGGCGGCAGGCUUAACACAUGCAAGUCGAGCGGGCGUAGCAAUACGUCAGCGGCAGACGGGUGAGUAACGCGUGGGAACGUACCUUUUGGUUCGGAACAACACAGGGAAACUUGUGCUAAUACCGGAUAAGCCCUUACGGGGAAAGAUUUAUCGCCGAAAGAUCGGCCCGCGUCUGAUUAGCUAGUUGGUGGGGUAACGGCUCACCAAGGCGACGAUCAGUAGCUGGUCUGAGAGGAUGAUCAGCCACAUUGGGACUGAGACACGGCCCAAACUCCUACGGGAGGCAGCAGUGGGGAAUAUUGGACAAUGGGCGCAAGCCUGAUCCAGCCAUGCCGCGUGAGUGAUGAAGGCCCUAGGGUUGUAAAGCUCUUUUGUGCGGGAAGAUAAUGACGGUACCGCAAGAAUAAGCCCGGCUAACUUCGCGCCAGCAGCCGC